rnacentral:rRNA from 1 species
AACGAACGCUGGCGGCAGGCCUAACACAUGCAAGUCGAACGCAUCGCAAGAUGAGUGGCAGACGGGUGAGUAACGCGUGGGAACCUUCCCAGUGGUGCGGAAUAGCUCAGGGAAACUUGAGGUAAUACCGCAUGAGCCCGCAAGGGGAAAGAUUUAUCGCCAUUGGAUGGGCCCGCGUCGGAUUAGCUAGUUGGUGAGGUAACGGCUCACCAAGGCGACGAUCCGUAGCUGGUUUGAGAGAAUGACCAGCCACACUGGGACUGAGACACGGCCCAGACUCCUACGGGAGGCAGCAGUGGGGAAUAUUGGACAAUGGGCGGCAAGCCUGAUCCAGCCAUGCCGCGUGAGUGACGAAGGCCUUAGGGUUGUAAAGCUCUUUUGGCGGGGACGAUAAUGACGGUACCCG